GAAGCUGACCAGACAGUCGCCGCUUCGUCGUCGUCCUCCUUCGGGGGGAGACGGGCGGAGGGGAGGAAAGUCCGGGCUCCAUAGGGCAAGGUGCCAGGUAACGCCUGGGGGGUGUCACAGCCCACGACCAGUGCAACAGAGAGUAAACCGCCGAUGGCCCGCGCAAGCGGGAUCAGGUAAGGGUGAAAGGGUGCGGUAAGAGCGCACCGCGCGGCUGGUAACAGUCCGCGGCACGGUAAACUCCACCCGGAGCAAGGCCAAAUAGGGGUUCAUAAGGUACGGCCCGUACUGAACCCGGGUAGGCUGCUUGAGCCAGUGAGCGAUUGCUGGCCUAGAUGAAUGACUGUCCACGACAGAACCCGGCUUAUCGGUCAGUUUCACCU
rnacentral:RNase_P_RNA from 4 species